CCGGUCGCCUCCGCCUUCAGGACCUGCGGGGCGCGCGCGAGGUGAAGAGACAGUGCCCCGGGAGUGGGGUGCAGGAGUCAAUCGGUGCAGCUGACUUGCUUCAGAACAGCCUCAGGGUGGAGAUGAGAGGUCUGGACUUCUGAACGUCUAUCAGGAAAGAUGAGAUGAGCAAGCCCUUCAGAAUGCUGCGGAGGUUGGGGCUAAACUGAAGUGGGAGAGAAGAGAUGCUGGUCUGAGGGUAUCUGAAGACUACCUGAAAAACCUGAAUGAACUCCUCUCUUUUCCAUCAAAGACACCUGGAAGCCAGGCAGCUAUGAUAAAUGUGCACCACCCCUGCGCAGAUAGUGUUUUCAGUCCCAUGGUCAGGUGCUGCAGCCACAGCCAGCCACACUUGAUCAGCACAGUGUCAUGGAAGGCAGAGUCAGGAAGAGCUGUGCCUGCUCGCU
rnacentral:lncRNA from 1 species